CUACGUGCCAGCAGCCGCGGUAAUACGUAGGGCGCGAGCGUUGUCCGGAAUUAUUGGGCGUAAAGAGCUUGUAGGCGGUUGGUCGCGUCUGCCGUGAAAUUCUCUGGCUUAACUGGGGGCGUGCAGUGGGUACGGGCAGACUAGAGUGCAGUAGGGGAGACUGGAAUUCCUGGUGUAGCGGUGGAAUGCGCAGAUAUCAGGAGGAACACCGAUGGCGAAGGCAGGUCUCUGGGCUGUAACUGACGCUGAGAAGCGAAAGCAUGGGGAGCGAACAGGAUUAGAUACCCCGGUAGUCCUGGCCGUAAACGAUGGGUACUAGGUGUAGGAGGUAUCGACCCCUUCUGUGCCGGAGUUAACGCAAUAAGUACCCCGCCUGGGGAGUACGACCGCAAGGUUGAAACUCAAAGGAAUUGACGGGGGCCCGCACAAGCGGUGGAGUAUGUGGUUUAAUUCGACGCAACGCGAAGAACCUUACCAGGUCUUGACA
rnacentral:rRNA from 1 species